CCUGCGGGGGGCUGCAGUGGGGAAUAUUGGACAAUGGGCGAAAGCCUGAUCCAGCCAUGCCGCGUGUGUGAAGAAGGCCUUCGGGUUGUAAAGCACUUUCAGUGGGGAAGAAAGCCUUGGGGCUAAUACCCUCGAGGAAGGACAUCACCCACAGAAGAAGCACCGGCUAACUCCGUGCCAGCAGCCGCGGUAAUACGGAGGGUGCGAGCGUUAAUCGGAAUUACUGGGCGUAAAGCGCGCGUAGGCGGUCUGAUAAGCCGGUUGUGAAAGCCCCGGGCUCAACCUGGGAACGGCAUCCGGAACUGUCAGGCUAGAGUGCAGGAGAGGAAGGUAGAAUUCCCGGUGUAGCGGUGAAAUGCGUAGAGAUCGGGAGGAAUACCAGUGGCGAAGGCGGCCUUCUGGACUGACACUGACGCUGAGGUGCGAAAGCGUGGGUAGCAAACAGGAUUAGAUACCCCUGUAGUC
rnacentral:rRNA from 1 species